rnacentral:rRNA from 1 species
UGAGGAACAUGACCUUCGGCGGGGGAUAGCCGGCCCAACGGCCGGGUAGUACCGCGUACGACCACAUGGGGACAUCCCUAGGUGGUGAAAGCAGCAAUGCGCCGAUGGAGUGCCUCGCGGCCUAUCAGCUAGUUGGUGAGGUAACGGCUCACCAAGGCGACGACGGGUAGCUGGUCUGAGAGGAUGGCCAGCCANAUUGGGACUGAGACCACGGCCCAGACCUCCGUAGGGACGG